rnacentral:rRNA from 1 species
ACGAACGCUGGCGGCGUGCUUAACACAUGCAAGUCGAACGGAAAGGCCCUGCUUUUGUGGGGUGCUCGAGUGGCGAACGGGUGAGUAACACGUGAGUAACCUGCCCUUGACUUUGGGAUAACUUCAGGAAACUGGGGCUAAUACCGGAUAGGAGCUCCUGCUGCAUGGUGGGGGUUGGAAAGUUUCGGCGGUUGGGGAUGGACUCGCGGCUUAUCAGCUUGUUGGUGGGGUAGUGGCUUACCAAGGCUUUGACGGGUAGCCGGCCUGAGAGGGUGACCGGCCACAUUGGGACUGAGAUACGGCCAAGACUCCUACGGGAGGCAGCAGUGGAGAAUAUUGCACAAUGGGCGGAAGCCUGAUGCAGCAACGCCGCGUGCGGGAUGACGGCCUUCGGGUUGUAAACCGCUUUCGCCUGUGACGAAGCGUGAGUGACGGUAAUGGGUAAAGAAGCACCGGCUAACUACGUG